rnacentral:rRNA from 1 species
AGCAGCCGCGGUAAUUCCAGCUCCAAUAGCGUAUAUUAAAGUUGUUGCAGUUAAAAAGCUCGUAGUUGAAUUUCGGGGUUAGUAGGUUGGUCAUGCCUCUGGUAUGUACUGGUCUCACUGAUUCCUUCUUCCUGAUGAACCUUAAUGCCAUUAAUUUGGUGUUUUGGGGAAUUUGGACUGUUACUUUGAAAAAUUAGAGUGUUUAAAGCAAGCUAACGCUUGAAUACAUUAGCAUGGAAUAAUGAAAUAGGACGUUCGAUCCUAUUUUGUUGGUUUCUAGGAUUGACGUAAUGAUUAAUAGGGAUAGUUGGGGGCAUUAGUAUUUAAUUGUCAGAGGUGAAAUUCUUGGAUUUAUUGAAGACUAACUACUGCGAGAGCAUUUGCCAAGGAUGUUUUCAUUAAUCAAGAACGAAAGCUAGGGGAUCGAAGACGAUCAGAUACCGUCGUAGUCUUAACCAUAAACUAUGCCGACUACGGGAUCGGAUGAUGUUAAUUUUUUAAUGACUCAUUCGGCGCCUUA